rnacentral:rRNA from 1 species
AAUAGAUACCCUGGUAGUCCACGCCGUAAACGAUGUGUGCUAUUAGUUCGAGGUAUCGACCCCUUGGGCUGAACAGCUAACGCGUUAAGCACACCGCCUGGGGAGUACGAGCGCAAGCUUAAAACUCAAAGGAAUUGACGGGGACCCGCACAAGCAGAGGAUGAUGUGGUUUAAUAUGAAGCUACGCGUAGAACCUUACCGAGGUUUGACAUCCCAGGAAGUCAGUCGAAAGACAGAUGUGCCUUUUGGAACCUGGUGACAGGUGCUGCAUGGCCGUCGUCAGCUCGUGUCGUGAGAUGUUGGGUUAAGUCCCGCAACGAGCGCAACCCUUAUUGUAUGUUGUAUUUUUCAUACGAAACUGCCCGGGCCAACCGGGAGGAAGGUGGGGACGACGUCAGGUCGGCAUGGCCCUUACACCUCGGGGCCACUCACGUCAUACAAUGGCCGGUACAAUGCGUCUUGCCAACCCGCGAGGGGGAGCUAAUCGCAUACCGAAACCGGUCCCAGUUCGGAUAGCAGGCUGCAACUCGCCUGCUUG